AUUUUCUAUAAAAACACUUUUUGCGUAAGAGAGUCCAUCCCCCAAUAAAUUAUGGGGAAAUGGGCAUUAGAAGAUGCUUUCCUACAGCUGGAUAGAAGUUCAAGGUUUCCAGUUUCCACUACUGUGCAGCAUCAUUUCACCUACCACGCCCUGUGAAAAAGCAGACUGCAUGAUUGCAAGCAGACUGGGACCAAGUGCAGAUAAAGUGAGGAUGAGUGGAAAGGAAACAUCAGUAACCCCAGAUUUCAGCCAAGUCCAUCUUUGCUGUGCAUGGUGACUAAUACAUGAUGUGAAUUCUGAUCCUCUGAACCAAUUACAGCAAGCCAAAUCCAGGCAAACCUACUCCAAAAUGCCUAAAGGAUUCUUUGAAAAGGGUCAGCCCUGCAUGGGAAGGAGCUACAUUUCUACAUCCUACCAAAACUUGGCACUGGUAAACAACGCUACUGAAUGUUCUUGGGCCAGUGGAGCGAGCAAAAACUUCGUACUGCUUGAGGAUCUUCUCUUUUUUUGUACUAAAUACAUACAAGGACAUUGCAUUAUUAGAGUUUGUAUAUAAAUUCAUAAAUUUAUAUUUGUAAUUUAUAAAUAUGUAAUAUAAUAUAUAAUUUAUACAUUCAUAAACAGAUUGCUCUAUAGGCUACUAUUAGGGGCAUAUCAGAGAAAGUGGUUGAAAAUAUUGUGUACAAUGUAUGUAUUAUGAUCACAUUCAUAUAUCCCUUUAAAACUGUUACUAGCAAUAAAAUAUUUUUCAUACUCA
rnacentral:lncRNA from 1 species